rnacentral:rRNA from 1 species
UACAGAGGGUGCAAGCGUUAAUCGGAAUUACUGGGCGGAAAGCGUGCGUAGACGGUUACAUAAGUCAGAUGUGAAAGCCCCGGGCUCAACCUGGGAAUUGCAUUUGAGACUGUGUAGCUAGGGUGCGGAAGAGGGAAGCGGAAUUUCCGGUGUAGCGGUGAAAUGCGUAGAUAUCGGAAGGAACACCAGUGGCGAAAGCGGCUUCCUGGUCCAGCACCGACGUUCAGGCACGAAAGCGUGGGGAGCGAACAGG